rnacentral:rRNA from 1 species
AUUGAACGCUGGCGGCAGGCCUAACACAUGCAAGUCGAACGAGUGGCGGACGGGUGAGUAAUGUAUGGGAAACUGCCUGAUGGAGGGGGAUAACUACUGGAAACGGUAGCUAAUACCGCAUACCAUCAGAUGUGUCCAGAUGGGAUGAGCUUGUUGGUGGGGUAACGUCCCCCCAAGGCUACGAUCCCUAGCUGGUCUGAGAGGAUGACCAGCCACACUGGAACUGAGACACGGUCCAGCCUCCUACGUGAGGCAGCAGUGGGGAAUAUUGCACAAUGGGCGCAAGCCUGAUGCAGCCAUUCCGCGUGUGUGAAGAAGGCCUUCGGGUUGUAAAGUACUUUCAGCGGGGAGGCGUUACCCGCAGAAGAAGCACCGGCUAACUCCGUGCCAGCAGCCGCGGUAAUUC